CCCGCGAUUACGCAACGAUGAGAACGCAGCUCUAGGCCGGUCUGGAAAGGCAGCACAGUUGGGCCCAAGUGGCCCAACUCCCUGGAGGAGAGGACGGGCUCUGAAGACUCUUCCGGCUGCCCCUGAAACCCUGAAACCGCUUAGUUGUUUUUCUGGUUGACUAGCUGCUGCACGCAACUGUCAGCUGCUUGUGAACUGUGUGACGCCAGUUCGCGCUCCUGUUUGUUUUCUAAAAGGCACUGCCCUGAUUUUUUUUUAACGACUAAAUAAUAAUAAUCAUUUCAGUCUCCCUCUCCUGAGGUGUUCCUUGAUGUCUCUAGGGUGCUAGGGCUGGGCCAGCAUCUUUUCCUGCAAUUUUUUUAUCCUCCCAUGGACAGCAGGGAGAACACAGGCUGCACCAGGCUGUUACACCAGGCCUCCCCGCUGGGAUAAAUGCAGCUUGUUUCAAAAGUGAAGGAAGGAAGGAGAGAGCGGAGAGGACAUCAAUCCCCUCCUUCCCAAAGGUUGCACCUACCAGCGACAGAGGAACAGCGCAUGUGAUGCCCCUCUUUUCUGUGAUGCUUACAGCUGCUGAUGACUUUUAUCUAAAUCCAUUAACUUAUGGUGAGCCUAAUGACAAAGUCAACAAUUGUUCAGAAGACCUGCAUUCACCAGAAAGAAUAUUUUUACCAAUAUUCAGAUGAUCACAUUUUAAAAUUCAGCACGGACUGAGUUUUUAUACAUUCUGCACACCCCAAAACAGGGGAAGACCACCACAGCGUGCACAGGAGGAAAAAAGUCAGACUGUGCAAUCAUUAUGCAAUAAUGCAUUAAUAAUAUAUGGUUUAUUGAACCAAAAAAGACUUUGGC
rnacentral:lncRNA from 1 species